rnacentral:lncRNA from 1 species
UUCUAUGGCAACAUCAAAUUCUCACUCUAACAUACACUUAUGAACAAUAAAUAUUUAUACCGAUUAUGUCAAUUUACCCGGUUUUACUUAAAAUCACUUAGUAAAAGUUGUUUAUCAUAAAUUCUAGCUUCAUAUUCUACCAUAAAACAGCAAAAUAAACACAUUUCACCUCUGGGUAUUUUUCCAAAUAUGCACCCUACCGUGAAUUAAUGGUAGAAUAAGCUAAACCGAGCUACGAGGAUUUCAAAAAUGCGAAGAACAUUAAAAACGGGGCUAAGAUGCACUUACUAUGAGCUUGGAAGCUUGAACAAACCCCAUCUAUGGCUCCCUGACACAUUCGGCAGCCC